AGAGAGAAAGACCAUAGUUGAACAAUUUUCACAAAUUAAUUUCUUCAAAAAUGAAGGAGAAGCAAGAGAGAGAUUGCCAAUUUUAUUUCACUUUCAGUUUCACUUACUUAGCUACCAAAUGCAGCUGGCUAGUUUAGUUACUCAAACACCCAGCUCAAACAGAGGGAUGCUAUGUUAGCUAGCUGGCUAUGACUAUCCGACACAACACUGUAACUCUUCCAAGUCAAGGUUUUUUCGCCUGGUCACAGACAGCUGAUGUGUUGUUCAUUGAAGUCCACAAACGAAGAGAAAAGCUGAGAAGAGUGCAUAGAGUGCACAGUUGGGUGCCAGACUGAUCCCUUGGUUAUGAAGGGAUGCCGGGACCUACCAGAAGGAGCAAAGCUUGUCAGGCAAUACCUCAGAGUAAAAGUGUACCCUUGUGACACGUCCUCCAUUGUUGGCCGAGUCUUCCUUACUGCACUGAUGACACAGACAGCUUCAUCAACAACUACAGCCCCUCCCAGUCAACACCACCUCAUAAGAUUGCCUGCUGCAGUUGUUCGAGAGAUGUCCAGUUUGCAGCUGAACAUGCAGCAUAGAGAAGACCAACAAGGGGGCCCUCAUCAGCAUCAUGCAGACAUGCCUUCACUGUGAACAUUCCUAUGAAUGGAACAGUCAGUCACACGUUGGGCAAGUAUCCGGCCAGCAACAUUCACCUGUCAGCGACAACAGCUUUCACAGGCUCAUCAUUUGUACAAAUACAGAAGAUAACCCACUUCAUUACUUUGAUACAUUUGAUAAUCCAAUUGUGAAAAUAGAUGUAUGUAAACUGACAUUAUGUGUUGCUUAUUUAGAUAUAAUGUCCAGGGCAUAACCAGCCUGAUUGCUGUGUUUACCAUUGUACAGUAUUUCACUUCACAUUUGAUGAUAUCUGAAGUGAAAUAGAAAGGUGAAAGCAGUGAUCAGGUUGGUUCCACCAGGCUAAUGAUAACCACCAUUUAUAAUAUAAUCAAUGCUCUCUGUGUGUGUGUGUGUGUGUGUGUGUGUGUGUGUGUGUGUGUGUGUGUGUGUGUGUGUGUGUGUGUGUGUGUGUGAGUGACUGCCCAGUAUCUUUGAUGAGGGGCCAGGAGCUGAUCUAUGCUGCUAUACUUGAUAGGGCCUUGGCAUAGACCUCACCUCCAGUCUCACCUCUUGCCUGCUCACCAACGGUUGUGUAGAGGUGGAGAACACAAUUAGGUACAUUUAGUCUGACUUGGUCAAACUUCAGCAUAGUAUAUGUGUGUGUGUGUCAGAUAUCACCUAUCCCUAACUGCCAUUGGUAAUAGAACAGUGACUGUGUGUGUACAGUAUGUGUUCACAGAAACAUUGAGGCAGCACAUGCAGACAAGCAAGCAUUUCGCUACACCUGCAAUAACAUCUGCUAAACAUGUGUAUGUGACAAAUAAAAUGAGAUUUGAUGAUGUGUUGAAGUCCAGACUGACACACAGGCUUGAUACUGAUGUCUCUGAAUGGAGAGAGAAAUGGCA